GCACUGCUGAAGAGUCUCAAAACAGAACGAAACAGCUGUCCAGUGC
rnacentral:hammerhead_ribozyme from 1 species